UGUGCAUCCUGAUCCUGUUCUUUUACCAAUUGGUCUCCUAGAGGUUGAUCAUUAGGUUUAGCAGAUUCCUGGGUGGUUUGAGCUGGUUCUGUUCCUAGUUCGGGAGAAGUUUUCUGUGCAUUCUGAUCCUGUUCUUUUACCAAUUGGUCUCCUAGAGUUUGAUUAUUAGUUUUAUCGGAUUCCUGGGUGGUUGGAGCUGUUUCUGCCCCUGGUUCUGGAUCAGUUUCCUGUGUAUCC